AUCCAACUGACGGGUCCCAAAUAGGACGAAACGCGUCAAACUGGAU
rfam:Schistosoma mansoni strain Puerto Rico chromosome 4, complete genome